CCUACGGGACGCAGCAGUGAGGAAUAUUGGUCAAUGGCCGAGAGGCUGAACCAGCCAAGUCGCGUGAGGGAUGACGGCCCUACGGGUUGUAAACCUCUUUUGUCGGGGAGCAAGACCCGCCACGAGUGGCGGAGCGAGAGUACCCGAAGAAAAAGCAUCGGCUAACUCCGUGCCAGCAGCCGCGGUAGUACGUAGGUGGCAAGCGUUAUCCGGAUUUACUGGGGGUAAAGGGCGUGUAGGCGGGACUGGAAGGCAGAUGUGAAAACCACGGGCUCA
rnacentral:rRNA from 1 species